CUCUUAAACAGGAUUAGCCUGUUAUCCCUAAGGUAGCUUCUUCUAUUAAUCAGCUAUGCUGGAUCUUUUUAUGUAUCUAAGAGGUGUUUAAGAGCCCUCUAGUUGCCCCAACUAAACUUGGAACUGAAAUAAAGUCAGUUAUAAGUAAAGCUCUAUAGGGUCUUUUCGUCUUUUUAAAAGAUUCAAGUCUCUUCACUUGAAGGUCAAUUUCUAUUUAUAAAUAAGAGACAGUUAUGCUCUCGUAUAUUCAUUCAUUCCAGCCACCAAUUAAAUGGCAAAUGAUUAU
rnacentral:rRNA from 1 species